rnacentral:tRNA from 1 species
UAGAUUGAAGCCAGUUGUUUAGGGUAUUUAGCUGUUAACUAAAAUUUCGUGGGGGAGUAGCCCACCAGUCUAG